rnacentral:rRNA from 1 species
GCUCUGGGCCAACCUCCCACCCGUGUCUCUUGCGUACUUUGU